rnacentral:rRNA from 1 species
GGGUCAGUAGGUUGGUCGUGCCAACGGUACGUACUGGUCUCACUGAUUCCUCCUUCCUGAAGAACCGUAAUGCCAUUAAUUGGGUGUUGCGGGGAAACAGGACUGUUACUUUGAAAAAAUUAGAGUGUUUAAAGCAAGCUAACGCUUGAAUACAUUAGCAUGGAAUAAUGAAAUAGGACGAUCGAUCCUAUUAUGUUGGUUUCUAGGAUUGACAUA